UGUUAGGUAUGUGAGUGCCACAGCUCGGAGAGCCGAUAAAAAUCCGGGUCGCCGUCAAGCUGCGUGAGUUGAGAGGAAGCGGCGCCUUCGGUGACUUCCUUUGGGGAAGGUUUGUUUUGUGCUGGUGAAGUGCUCCCCCUGGUGGACCAGGAGUUGAUAGGUUUGUGAUCGCGUUCUGUAGGGAGCAAAUGUGCUCUGGAGAAAACCCCCCGCAGUUUCAGAUACGCGGAGAUGUCCUCCAGGAAGAAAAAAAAAAAAAAAAAAAAAAAGCUAACUUUAAAGAGCACCAAACCCAAGCUCAAGACCCCGCUGGGCUCCGGCUUGAUUUUGAGCACGGCCUUCCUGCAAGAGAGGUUUUGUGUAGACACGGAGAGAGCUUCUAUACUUGAAGAGAAGUCGGGCUCCAUGGUUUCUGAGGAUCCACCCGGUGCUGUAGUUGGGCCGGGUCGGCAUGCUUUCCUUUCGGUUGUGAUUUUCAAGUUGGAAAAGGAAGUGCAUCAGGUUAAGAGGCUUGUUUAAGGCUGGAAAGUCUGUGGCAGAGAACAGAACUCAUCUCCUGUGACUGCCGGUGGCUGCUUCAUUUGCUACCACAGGGUGAGUGCCCCUUAAGCACACUCUCACCAAUCCGCAAAUACUAGUUAUUUAAAAGAAUGUUUUCUUCUUCUAGGGCAUAGCGUUAUUUUUUAAAAUUCUUUUUUUUUUAACGUUUAUUUAUUUUGGAGACAGAGAGAGAGAGGGCACGAGCGAGCGGGGAGGGGCAGAGAGAGAGGGAGACACAGAAUCCGAAGCAGGCUCCAGGCUCUGAGCUGUCAGCACAGAGCCCGAGGCGGGGCUCGAACCCAUGAACCGUGAGAUAGUGACCUGAGC
rnacentral:lncRNA from 1 species